rnacentral:rRNA from 1 species
GACGAACGCUGUCGGCGUGCUUAACACAUGCAAGUCGAACGGAAAGGCCCUGCUUUUGUGGGGUGCUCGAGUGGCGAACGGGUGAGUAACACGUGAGUAACCUGCCCUUGACUUUGGGAUAACUUCAGGAAACUGGGGCUAAUACCGGAUAGGAGCUCCUGCUGCAUGGUGGGGGUUGGAAAGUUUCGGCGGUUGGGGAUGGACUCGCGGCUUAUCAGCUUGUUGGUGGGGUAGUGGCUUACCAAGGCUUUGACGGGUAGCCGGCCUGAGAGGGUGACCGGCCACAUUGGGACUGAGAUACGGCCCAGACCCCUACGGGAGGCAGCAGUGGGGAAUAUUGCACAAUGGGCGGAAGCCUGAUGCAGCAACGCCGCGUGCGGGAUGACGGCCUUCGGGUUGUAAACCGCUUUCGCCUGUGACGAAGCGUGAGUGACGGUAAUGGGUAAAGAAGCACCGGCUAACUACGUGCCAGCAGCCGCGGUGAUACGUAGGGUGCGAGCGUUGUCCGGAUUUAUUGGGCGUAAAGGGCUCGUAGGUGGUUGAUCGCGUCGGAAGUGUAAUCUUGGGGCUUAACCCUGAGCGUGCUUUCGAUACGGGUUGACUUGAGGAAGGUAGGGGAGAAUGGAAUUCCUGGUGGAGCGGUGGAAUGCGCAGAUAUCAGGAGGAACACCAGUGGCGAAGGCGGUUCUCUGGGCCUUUCCUGACGCUGAGGAGCGAAAGCGUGGGGAGCGAACAGGCUUAGAUACCCUGGUAGUCCACGCUGUAAACGGUGGGUACUAGGUGUGGGGUCCAUUCCACGGGUUCCGUGCCGUAGCUAACGCUUUAAGUACCCCGCCUGGGGAGUACGGCCGCAAGGCUAAAACUCAAAGGAAUUGACGGGGCCCCGCACAAGCGGCGGAGCAUGCGGAUUAAUUCGAUGCAACGCGUAGAACCUUACCUGGGUUUGACAUGGAUCGGGAGUGCUCAGAGAUGGGUGUGCCUCUUUUGGGGUCGGUUCACAGGUGGUGCAUGGCUGUCGUCAGCUCGUGUCGUGAGAUGUUGGGUUAAGUCCCGCAACGAGCGCAACCCUUGUUCACUGUUGCCAGCACGUUAUGGUGGGGACUCAGUGGAGACCGCCGGGGUCAACUCGGAGGAAGGUGGGGAUGACGUCAAGUCAUCAUGCCCCUUAUGUCCAGGGCUUCACGCAUGCUACAAUGGCUGGUACAGAGAGUGGCGAGCCUGUGAGGGUGAGCGAAUCUCGGAAAGCCGGUCUCAGUUCGGAUUGGGGUCUGCAACUCGACCUCAUGAAGUCGGAGUCGCUAGUAAUCGCAGAUCAGCAACGCUGCGGUGAAUACGUUCCCGGGGCU